rnacentral:rRNA from 1 species
AGUGAACGCUGGCGGUAGGCCUAACACAUGCAAGUCGAACGGCAGCACAGUAAGAGCUUGCUCUUACGGGUGGCGAGUGGCGGACGGGUGAGGAAUACAUCGGAAUCUACUUUUUCGUGGGGGAUAACGUAGGGAAACUUACGCUAAUACCGCAUACGACCUACGGGUGAAAGCAGGGGAUCUUCGGACCUUGCGCGAUUGAAUGAGCCGAUGUCGGAUUAGCUAGUUGGUGGGGUAAAGGCCCACCAAGGCGACGAUCCGUAGCUGGUCUGAGAGGAUGAUCAGCCACACUGGAACUGAGACACGGUCCAGACUCCUACGGGAGGCAGCAGUGGGGAAUAUUGGACAAUGGGCGCAAGCCUGAUCCAGCUAUACCGCGUGGGUGAAGAAGGCCUUCGGGUUGUAAAGCCCUUUUGUUGGGAAAGAAAAGCAGCAGGUUAAUACCCCGCUGUUCUGACGGUACCCAAAGAAUAAGCACCGGCUAACUUCGUG